rnacentral:lncRNA from 1 species
GUACCGGAAGUGCGUCGUUGAAACAAGUCGCUUUUGUCGCAGAAAACCGAGAAAUAAAGAGAACCUCGAAGUUCUUUUAUGUUCAUGGCAAUAAUAAUAGUCUACACGCUGUGUAAAGCAAAUGUUUUCUUUGUAGAAAUGGAGUAGAUCAUUCCGCAUGUUCUGAACGGUGAGUUAAACUUACGUUUGCAUAUUUUAGCGACUAAUUACUCGUUGGGUCGUUGUUGGUUGAACUCAAUACAGACACAAUGAUAAUUCGUCCAAAACAAUGAAACAGUCUGCGGGAACUAUAAAAUAACUAAAUGAACGAAUGAAAGAACAGCAUCUAGUUUUGCGCAUGAAUUGAAUUGUAUUCGUUGAUGUAUAAAUUAAUUUGAACUUUUCCGUCCCUACACGUACCGACGUAGGUACGAAAAAUAUCUGGUGAGCAGCCUGUACGUGUGAGGAAUUGCAAAUUGAGAAUUAAGCAUGAUCUUUCUUUAACGUCAGCAUUUAGCUAUUCAUUCCUUUAAAAUGUAUUAUGAAUAUCACCAUGUGUCUAGAAUUUAGUAGUGUUGAGGGUGUACCGGUGUAGUUCAUACAUUCCUUAGUCGUUGUUUGUCAUCGUCGCAAUAUGUAUUUAAAAUAAAAUUGUGAAAAAUUUUAUUGGUUGUCGCGGUAGAUUCAUGGUUAGUUUUUUCGAAAAUAUUGAUUCUUGAAGUUUGCAGUUUGCCUGUGCAGUUUGCGCUAAUACUUAAAAUGAGGUUGCUAUUUGUGCUACAAUAAUAAACAUCGUAUUAAAUUGCAAUGGAAUUUACAUUGGGUAAUACUGUUUGUCAACGCUAAUAGUCAACUAAAACCCAAGUUACCAAACAUAGACGUUACAUUAUAUAUUUCUGUUCUGUUAUGUUCUAAAAUGCAUUUGCCAUUCUCGCUAUCUAUAUUUGCGGAGGAAUCAUACAGUAAAUAUUGUGUCACUAUAUCUGAACUGUUAUUUGAUAUGUGCUUGCGAUCUGCGAGUACAAAGCCUAGUUAAAACUUCGUUCCCCGUUCUAACACUAAGAAAAUAAUAUGCGCACUUCACAGAACAUUUCCCCGUUAAAAACACAAUACUUUGAUCGUGAAAUGACUGAAAUACUACAAGUUUACACGUGUGACACCUAGCGAAGUUCGAGGUAAACUUCGUAGUCACCGAAUAGCGUACCAUAAGAUAGAACUGUAAGAUAGCGCAAGUUUGAAGAACUUCGCUUUCAAUUACAGGAUACGCCGUUACAGUCUCAUUGCCUCUGCUGUCUAUUACGUAGUAAAAACGAGAUUGUUACAGUGCAAUAAAUCCAAUAAUAGUGUAGCUAUAUGAAGCCUGGUUUUUAGGGUUGUCUUCUACCUUCGAUUACGUAAUUUCGAGCGUAGACAGAUUACGUAAUUUCUUUGAGUAAAUAGACAGACAAAAUAGCGAAUAGUAAAUAGCAUAGACAGAUUACGUAAUUUUUUAUUACAUUUUUUUCUGAGUUUACGAAAUAAGCAGUGAGAAACGGAUUUCUCAUACUGGGGUGUUUGUGUUUUAAUAUAGAGUCGGAUAAAGUCAAGUGUUAAGUGCCUCUAGCAUCAUAUUACAGUGUGAGAUUGGUGGAUGCGAGUGAUCAUAUAUCGUAAUUAUCGUAAUGGUCAAUGACUAUCGUGAUAUUGUUUGGCAUCUGAAAUCUGAAAAUAUGAAAUGUGUACUUUGUUCCUUUAUUUUCCCAACUUUGCCACUAUCCCAGUGGACAGCUUUAUGCAAUGAUGAAAUAAAAUUUCUUCUUUAUAAAUAAGAUUUUAAUUAACUGAUAUAUCUCUUAUUAGUUGCUAAUGUAGCUUAAAAUUUAAUUGUUAUGUUAGUAUGUUUUUACUGUCCAGGUAUAUUAUCUAAAAUUGAAACUAUGAGCAUUUUUUUAAUACAUUUAUAGCGAUGUUAAUCAUGAUAUGAUUUGUUAAAAUAUUGUCCAACCCAACUGGAGUUUCGAAACAUAUUGCGUCG